GAUGAAGAACGUAGCGAAAUGCGAUAAGUAAUGUGAAUUGCAGAAUUCAGUGAAUCAUCGAAUCUUUGAACGCACAUUGCGCCCGCCAGUAUUCUGGCGGGCAUGCCUGUUCGAGCGUCAUUUCAACCAUCAAGCCCCCGGCUUGUGUUGGGGACCUGCGGCUGCCGCAGGCCCUGAAAAGCAGUGGCGGGCUCGCUGUCACACCGAGCGUAGUAGCAUACAUCUCGCUCUGGGCGUGCUGCGGGUUCCGGCCGUUAAACCACCUUAAUAACCCAAGGUUGACCUCGGAUCAGGUAGGAAGACACGCUGAACUUAAGCAUAUCAAUAAGCGGAGGA
rnacentral:misc_RNA from 1 species